UAACAGCUGGGAGUUAGGUGGGGUCAUGUAGCUCUGUUAUAACAGCUGGGAGUUAGGUGGGGUCAUGUAGCUCUGUUAUAACAGCUGGGAGUUAGGUGGGGUCAUGUAGCUCUGUUAUAACAGCUGGGAGUUAGGUGGGGUCAUGUAGCUCUGUUAUAACAGCUGGGAGUUAGGUGGGGUCAUGUAGCUCUGUUAUAACAGCUGGGAGUUAGGUGGGGUCAUGUAGCUCUGUUAUAACAGCUGGGAGUUAGGUGGGGUCAUGUAGCUCUGUUAUAACAGCUGGGAGUUAGGUGGGGUCAUGUAGCUCUGUUAUAACAGCUGGGAGUUAGGUGGGGUCAUGUAGCUCUGUUAUAACAGCUGGGAGUUAGGUGGGGUCAUGUAGCUCUGUUAUAACAGCUGGGAGUUAGGUGGGGUCAUGUAGCUCUGUUAUAACAGCUGGGAGUUAGGUGGGGUCAUGUAGCUCUGUUAUAACAGCUGGGAGUUAGGUGGGGUCAUGUAGCUCUGUUAUAACAGCUGGGAGUUAGGUGGGGUCAUGUAGCUCUGUUAUAACAGCUGGGAGUUAGGUGGGGUCAUGUAGCUCUGUUAUAACAGCUGGGAGUUAGGUGGGGUCAUGUAUCUCUGUUC